AACCACGGCACCAGGCUCCAGCAUUGCAGGGUUGCCGGUUUUAUAAAUAAACUUUUUUGUUCUACCGCAUGUCAAUAUAGUUAAGAACAUUUGUAUAAAAUUAGGUAUAGGUGAUUAGUUGGCAAAAUAACUUUUAUUACUUUUAAUUUCUCAUUAUUUCCUGUUAUUGUCCAUUUUAUUUACUUCUUGCAAAAAUUUGUGUCUAAUACUAUUUGUGUCUAAUACAAAAAUAAACUAUGUCAAUUUAA
rnacentral:lncRNA from 1 species